rnacentral:lncRNA from 1 species
UUUAAUCCUAGGUUGAGGAUAAACUACAGGUACGAGAAGUUUGAUCCCAUGUAUGGGUAGCCAAACUGUAAAUACAAGAGGUUCAAUCUGCGGUGGGAUGACCUAAGUUGCAGGAACGCAAAGGAGAACCAGGCUGCUAGCUUGAAAUGUAUGUUUCCCUGAGGGGCAAAGUGUAGAAAAGUUGUAUAUGGUAAAGGGUUAAAG